UACAGAGGUCUCAAGCGUUGUUCGGAUUCAUUGGGCGUAAAGGGUGCGUAGGCGGCGCGGUAAGUCGGGUGUGAAAUCUCGGAGCUUAACUCCGAAACUGCAUUCGAUACUGCCGUGCUUGAGGACUGGAGAGGAGACUGGAAUUUACGGUGUAGCGGUGAAAUGCGUAGAUAUCGUAAGGAAGACCAGUGGCGAAGGCGGCCAUCUGGCCCAUUUUUGACGCUGAGGCGCGAAAGCGUGGGGAGCAAACAGG
rnacentral:rRNA from 1 species